rnacentral:rRNA from 1 species
GAUGAACGCUGGCGGCGUGCCUAAUACAUGCAAGUCGAGCGAACGGACGAGAAGCUUGCUUCUCUGAUGUUAGCGGCGGACGGGUGAGUAACACGUGGAUAACCUACCUAUAAGACUGGGAUAACUUCGGGAAACCGGAGCUAAUACCGGAUAAUAUUUUGAACCGCAUGGUUCAAAAGUGAAAGACGGUCUUGCUGUCACUUCUAGAUGGAUCCGCGCUGCAUUAGCUAGUUGGUAAGGUAACGGCUUACCAAGGCAACGAUGCAUAGCCGACCUGAGAGGGGGAUCGGCCACACUGGAACGGAGACACGGUCCAGACUCCUACGGGAGGCAGCAGUAGGGAAUCGUCCGCAAUGGGCGAAAGCCUGACGGAACAACGCCACGUGAGUGAUGAAGGUCUUCGGAUCGUAAAACUCUGUUAUUAGGGAAGAACAUAUGUGUAAGUAACUGUGCACAUCUUGACGGUACCUAAUCAGAAAGCCACGGCUAACUACGUG